rnacentral:rRNA from 1 species
UACGUGGGGUGCAAGCGUUAAUCGGAAUUACUGGGCGUAAAGCGUGCGCAGGCGGCUUUGCAAGACAGAUGUGAAAUCCCCGGGCUUAACCUGGGAACUGCAUUUGUGACUGCAUGGCUGGAGUGCGGGAGAGGGGGAUGGAAUUCCGCGUGUAGCAGUGAAAUGCGUAGAUAUGCGGAGGAACACCGAUGGCGAAGGCAAUCCCCUGGGCCUGCACUGACGCUCAUGCACGAAAGCGUGGGGAGCAAACAGG